CGUACACUCCUGCGGGAGGCAGCAGUGGGGAAUAUUGGACAAUGGGCGCAAGCCUGAUCCAGCCAUGCCGCGUGAGUGAUGAAGGCCCUAGGGUUGUAAAGCUCUUUCACCGGAGAAGAUAAUGACGGUAUCCGGAGAAGAAGCCCCGGCUAACUUCGUGCCAGCAGCCGCGGUAAUACGAAGGGGGCUAGCGUUGUUCGGAAUUACUGGGCGUAAAGCGCACGUAGGCGGAUCGAUCAGUCAGGGGUGAAAUCCCAGGGCUCAACCCUGGAACUGCCUUUGAUACUGUCGAUCUGGAGUAUGGAAGAGGUGAGUGGAAUUCCGAGUGUAGAGGUGAAAUUCGUAGAUAUUCGGAGGAACACCAGUGGCGAAGGCGGCUCACUGGUCCAUUACUGACGCUGAGGUGCGAAAGCGUGGGGAGCAAACAGGAUUAGAAACCCCAGUAGUCCC
rnacentral:rRNA from 1 species